GACGAACGCUGGCGGCGUGCUUAACACAUGCAAGUCGAACGGUGAAAGCGGAGCUUGCUCCGCUGGAUCAGUGGCGAACGGGUGAGUAACACGUGGGCAACCUGCCCCUCACUUCGGGAUAACUCCGGGAAACCGGGGCUAAUACCGGAUAUGACCUCCUUGGGCAUCCUUGGAGGUGGAAAGUUUUUCGGUGAGGGAUGGGCCCGCGGCCUAUCAGCUUGAUGGUGAGGUAAUGGCUCACCAUGGCUUCGACGGGUAGCCGGCCUGAGAGGGUGACCGGUCACACUGGGACUGAGACACGGCCCAGACUCCUACGGGAGGCAGCAGUGGGGAAUAUUGGACAAUGGGCGGAAGCCUGAUCCAGCAACGCCGCGUGAGGGAUGACGGCCUUCGGGUUGUAAACCUCUUUCAGUACCGACGAAGCGCAAGUGACGGUAGGUACAGAAGAAGCACCGGCCAACUACGUGCCAGCAGCCGCAGUAA
rnacentral:rRNA from 1 species